UGUUUGUGUAAGGAAAGGUAUUGUUCUUGGUUGAUCUAUCUAGCGCGCGCAAUCCAUCAUGUGACAGGCGUUCCUCGUAGUGUUUUGGUUUCGGCCGAUCCGAAUGGCCUACGAUCGUGACGAUCGUGUAAGGAAGGGAAUGACGAGUGUAAUAGGAGGGGAGUGAAACGGUGGAAAUUUUAUCGUCCUAUGCUCGUAGCAGAUUGCUAUGCACACAGGCGGUUGCUAUGCACAUUGAUGGCUGGAUUACACGAUCAAGUUAGAACAAUAAUCACUAGUUUAUUUUCCGUAUCUAAUGGGGAAGCCGAUCAAAACUACGGAGGCAUAUUAAGUUUACAAGACCGAGUGUAACGAAAAAGGGCUAAAGCCAUGUGAUCAGGCAAACUUUUCAGCAGUAGGAUUAUUCUUGAUUAUGUUCACCAGUUCGUGAGCCGAUUUUUUUCCUAUCACGCCGGCGAACUGAUGAAUGUAUUGUCGAUCCUCAUAUAUUUUGAGGCGCAAUGCCCGUUGAUGAGGUGAUAAAAACAAUGCUUGCUCCCUUUGUCAACUCCUUUUAAAUAUAUCUAAUUAAAAAUGAUUUUCCGCUUCCAGCUAUUCCACUAAUGAACACACUAAAACCUUU